UACGUAGGGUGCGAGCGUUAAUCGGAAUUACUGGGCGUAAAGCGUGCGCAGGCGGUUCGUUAAGUUCGAUGUGAAAGCCCCGGGCUCAACCUGGGAAUGGCAUUGGAAACUGGCGGACUCGAGUGUGGCAGAGGGGGGUGGAAUUCCGCGUGUAGCAGUGAAAUGCGUAGAGAUGCGGAGGAACACCGAUUGCGAAGGCAGCUUCCCAAGCCGAUACUGACACUGAUGCACGAAAGCGUGGGGAUCAAACAGG
rnacentral:rRNA from 1 species